UUAAUUCCAUGCACUUUGGGCACCUGCAAAUAAUAAAAUGUUGUAAAAGAAUGGGAAAUCUGAGGAUAAGAGAAUUGGAAGCAUACAAGUUCACUCAAUGAAGUUUCAAAUCAAUUGAAAAAGUAUGAGUCAAUUAGAACCGAAGCACAAAAUCUCAAUCUCAGUAAGGAAACACACGAAAUUAAAAUAUGUAUGUCAACUGCCGCAAAGUUACUAUUAUGGUUGAGUUAUACCAGUUCGAUUUCAAUAUCAAAGCACCAAAAUGGCCAUAAGUUAAAAUUAUGUUUAUUGAAAUAAAUUCAGAACAAAUAAUCCAAAUUAAAUAGAUAAACAUAGCAAAUUACAUAUUGAAGAUGCACUGGCUUCCCGCAUUGAACACACGAU
rnacentral:misc_RNA from 1 species